AUUGAACGCUGGCGGCAGGCCUAACACAUGCAAGUCGAGCGGUAGAGAGGUGCUUGCAUCUCUUGAGAGCGGCGGACGGGUGAGUAAUGCCUAGGAAUCUGCCUAGUGGUGGGGGAUAACGUUCGGAAACGGACGCUAAUACCGCAUACGUCCUACGGGAGAAAGCGGGGGAUCUUCGGACCUCGCGCCAUUAGAUGAGCCUAGGUCGGAUUAGCUAGUUGGUGAGGUAAUGGCUCACCAAGGCGACGAUCCGGUAACUGGUCUGAGAGGAUGAUCAGUCACACUGGAACUGAGACACGGUCCAGACUCCUACGGAGGCAGCAGUGGGGAAUUUUGGACAAUGGGCGCAAGCCUGAUCCAGCAAUGCCGCGUGCAGGA
rnacentral:rRNA from 1 species